AUUGAACGCUGGCGGCAUGCCUUACACAUGCAAGUCGAACGGCAGCACGGGAGCAAUCCUGGUGGCGAGUGGCGAACGGGUGAGUAAUAUAUCGGAACGUGCCCAGUCGUGGGGGAUAACGUAGCGAAAGCUACGCUAAUACCGCAUACGAUCUAUGGAUGAAAGCGGGGGAUCGCAAGACCUCGCGCGAUUGGAGCGGCCGAUAUCAGAUUAGGUAGUUGGUGGGGUAAAAGCCUACCAAGCCUUCGAUCUGUAGCUGGUCUGAGAGGACGACCAGCCACACUGGAACUGAGACACGGUCCAGACUCCUACGGGAGGCAGCAGUGGGGAAUUUUGGACAAUGGGCGCAAGCCUGAUCCAGCAAUGCCGCGUGCAGGAUGAAGGCCUUCGGGUUGUAAACUAGCUUUUGUUACGGAACGAAACGGUUCGUUUCUAAUACAGAGAGCUAAUGACGGUACCGUAA
rnacentral:rRNA from 1 species